GCAGCAACUCUCCUAGUCACGUGCGACCUACCUGUGGUGAUUUACAUAACAACUAGUCAGUGGGCACGGUGUGAGCCGUUUUCAGAAUUAUAGUCACUUGACAGCUGGACUGUGUGAGACGAAGACAUAGGACCGAACUUUCAACUGCGUUGAAGCAAAUAUGUCUUAACUACAAUCUAAUUCGCUGACUGCAGAAGGCACGUGACUGAUGGAACCACGCCUAGCCUUCAGUCCGUAUUAAGGAACUGGACACACUCAUGCAAACGAGCGCACACGUACAUACAGUUAUAACAUACAGUUGAACAGUUUUAUGAACUGGUGAACUGGCGCGUGAUCUUGUAGUGAUUUUAAAAACGUUUUAGGAUUACAUAUUGAUUCUCUUAGUUGAAAAUGAAAUUUACUGAUAUAAUUCAUAAGCUAUGUACCUUGGGUAUCAAUCAUAUUUAUUUUUAAUUGUUCCAACGAGUUCGGAUGAAUCUUAUUCCAUUAAAACACUUUCGGCUACUCAAACUAUCUACACGAUGAAUUAAACGUUGGGGAUAAAGGUGUGUUUUUUUAACCGUAUAGUUGGUGUAAUCUCUGGUAAGAUCAUUCUUUAAAGUCGAUUAGCUAUCACAUGAUAUUUUUUUCUUAAUUGACAUUGUAGAAUUGCAUUUAUUAAUUUUAAAUGUUUAUAACGCUGUAAUCGUAAACUAACGAGUGACGAACUAUUUCACCCGAAUAAAUUUACAUUUCU